rnacentral:lncRNA from 1 species
AUCCUUUAAUUUAAAAGGCAGCGCGCAGUUAUAAAGAAGACUUGGGACGUAACCCGGCCUGAGAAGCAGGCGUGCUGCCCCUUUGGGUCUCCUGCAAGCUGAUCCAGUUGGAAUUGAUACUGAUGGAAGAUUUUUUCCGCCUUGGAAAGACAAAGAUGGUUCCGAUGGUUUGGUGCUCCAUCUAGUGGAUACGAAGAAGCCAAGGCCCCCGGCGGUGGAAGAGAUUCUGCCCGGGUCACGCAGCUUCAGCAACAGAUUAACAAACAGAAAACCAGGCCUGGAGCCAGUGCCCUUGACAACCAGCUCAGGGCCAGAUCUCAGCUCCUCCAGCCUUGUUGUGAUUGUUUAAUGGCAUCGUAGAGAUAAACUUCCCAUUAAUUGAGAGCCACAUCUGUAAAUAGAAACCUGUAAAUAGAAUCUGUGGGAUAAAAGCCAUGCUUUCACAUUUAAUAAAAAGUGUAUUUAUUGAGCUUUUCUGCUGUGCAAGGCACUAUUCAGUCCAAUCUAAGCCAACUACCAUCACUAAGCCAAUCUUUGGUCACUGGAUAAAGUUAGUUUGAAGAAAGGCAGAUUAGUGUACAGUUCUAAUUCAGUUCUCAUAGUUUUAAAACAUAACCAUGAAUAUUGCAUUAAGGAUCACAUUAUAAUCUUGAAUUUUGUCAGGAUGUAGAAAUAGGUGGUUGCCUAUACAAAAUACAAAUGACUUCAAUCUCAGACUGUCUCUUCAUCCCUGGGUCUUCAUGUCCUCUUUGUGUUUCCUAUCUGCCAAGAAAAUUUUAAUCCUCUAACUGGUCCAG